UACAGAGGUCCCGAGCGUUGUCCGGAAUUAUUGGGCGUAAAGGGCUCGUAGGCGGUUAGUCACGUCGGGAGUGAAAACUCAGGGCUCAACCCUGAGCGUGCUUCCGAUACGGGCUGACUAGAGGUAUGCAGGGGAGGACGGAAUUCCUGGUGUAGCGGUGGAAUGCGCAGAUAUCAGGAGGAACACCGGUGGCGAAGGCGGUUCUCUGGGCAUUACCUGACGCUGAGGAGCGAAAGCAUGGGGAGCGAACAGG
rnacentral:rRNA from 1 species